GGGCAACGGAAGGUUAGCUGAGCCCUUCAAGGUUAUCCACAGGCCCACGAAUUCAGAGGAGAAGAUUUCAGUGAUGGAACACUCUCCAAUUAACUGCUCUGCACAGCACCUUGGACAAAAGGCUAUAAAAAUUAUAAAAGAUGAUAUAUUAAAUUUUUGAGGAGAAAGUGAAACAUGUCUGGGUCUAAGCAAGAAGUGAAUAUUCGCCUGCAGAUUCCGUACAAGAUGGGGCUGGAGGAACAACCUACACAGCGGGUCCAGUUUCAAGGCUCUUCACAAAUGUCAAUGAUCCUUUGAAAACCUCUUCCUCCUCAUUGUGCACCUGUUCUACACCACACAGCAGAGACAGCAAAUAGACAGCAGGCAGACUGACUCUUUCCAUCCCAGACCAAUGGCAGUCAUCACCAGUUGAUCCUGUUGUAAAUACCUUUUCAAAUCCUUCUAACUCGUGCUGUAGAAGCUACCAUCAACCUAUGAAGUUUGGCAGAUGAAAUAAAAUGUAUUGGUCAUUCCAUUUGUUAAUUAUUUUAAUACUAUAACACUGAUAGUAUUCUAUUACAUUCAUUUGUUUAUAUAUGUGUCGUCUAUUACACAGAGAUAGCUGGUACAAAGUCAACCCGUAGUUAAGACUUGAUUAAUUUACAGCUGAAUAAUACUGCUUUCUUACAUUAAAAAAAUAAAGUUUUUUCAUGUUCACCUAUACUUUAGAAAUAGCUUCUGCUCUUUUAUUCCUUAGAUGAUAGCUUCACUCAGUUAAUGUCUUCAUAAUCCUUCAAUUGAAGUCAAUAGCUAGAUGCAAAUUAGUCUG
rnacentral:lncRNA from 1 species